rnacentral:lncRNA from 1 species
UAUAGUGACACAGUAACAGAGGGAUUGAGGGCCCUGCUCAGUGAGGUUAUAUGUUAGAGGGAGUGGGGUAUAGUGACACAGUAACAGAGGGAUUGAGGGCCCUGCUCAGUGAGUUUACAUGUUAGAGGGAGUGGGGUAUAGUUACACAGUAACAGAGGGAUUGAGGGCCUGCUCAGUGAGUUUACAUGUUAGAGGGAGUGGGGUAUAGUGACACAGUAACAGAGGGAUUGAGGGCCUGCUCAGUGAGUUUACAUGUUAGAGGGAGUGGGGUAUAGUGACACAGUAACAGAGGAUUGGGGGCCCUGCUCCGUGAGUUUAGAUGUUAGAGGGAGUGGGGUAUAGUGACACAGUAACAGAGGGAUUGAGGGGCCUGCUCAGUGAGUUUACAUGUUAGAGGGAGUGGGGUAUAGUGACACAGUAACAGAGGGAUUGAGGGCCUGCUCAGUGAGUUUACAUGUUAGAGGGAGUGGGGUAUAGUGACACAGUAACAGAGGGGUUGAGGGGCCUGCUCAGUGAGUUUACAUGUUAGAGGGAGUGGGGUAUAGUGACACAGUAACAGAGGGAUUGAGGGCCCUGCUCAGUGAGUUUACAUGUUAGAGAGAGUGGGGUAUAGUGACAGUAACAGAGGGAUUGAGGGCCUGCUCAGUGAGUUUACAUGUUAGAGGGAGUGGGGUAUAGUGACACAGUAACAGAGGGAUUGAGGGCCCUGCUCAGUGAGUUUACAUGCUAGAGGGAGUGGGGUAUUGUCAGAGUAUUUAUAUCGGCAGACAUUUUGUGCUAUGAUAGAAACUAAAAGUGUAUAUUCUGAGUCACUCUGAACAGACCAGACUCCAUUUUGUUAUUUUAAGUUAACAGAAAGACACUAUAUUUCUAUCUGUAAGCUAACCACUUUCCCAGAGCUGAGGAAUGCAUAGUAUAUACAAGCCAAGUGAUAAGGAAGGGGGUUGGACAGACUGUCUAAUGCUAAGAAGAAUAUAAUCAAAUCUAAACCCAGACAAUUGUGACAGAGAAGAUUAAAUAAUUUAAUAUUUAACUGUCUAUAUAUAUAAGGUACCAUUGUAUGGAAAAGGGUAAACUUAGUUCAUGAUCUGUCAUAUCAGAAAUUAUAGCAGAUUUGCAGACACAUAGUCUGGACAAAAUUUAAGAACCCUUUGAUCUUUGAAGGAUACGUAAGUUAUAGCCACUAUCUAGAUAGGCCAAAAUGACGUCAAAAUAGCCACCAGGAAAAGUUAACUCUUUCCUGGAUAGGUAUGUUUAGUGGGACAAGACUGCCCUCUACAGACCAAAUAACUAAUUUGCGAUCUGGAAGAUAACCACACCUCUAGUGCUUCUAUUGGGUUAUCAACUGAUGACGUACAGAGAGUCUGGCCCUUUAAAAGUUAAGACAAAGGGAAGAUAGAGAAAUACGAAGGAGGCAGAUGCAAGAUAUGCAAAGAGAGAAAAGAGAGGAAUUGGAAGUUUGGGGACUCCAACCUCCAUGCAGAGACACAUCCAAAUAAAUUCCUGAGACUACCAAUCGGAUGAAAUAUCUACUCAACUGGUAAUUAUACUGGUUUCAUUUAAUUAAAUUAAAUUAAUUAAAAUGUAUUAAUAGCAUUAUAUAUGACUGGAUAAAGCACGGUCAGAUUUCCAUAUUAAGAAAUCUUAGUUAACUAAGAAUAUAUAGUUAUAAACAUUCCAUUCUGCAGGUGGAAUUAAGAAUAAUUAUAUAUUGAUGUGAUAUUAUCACGUGUUAGCAUACCGCUGUUUUUAUCCAGGUGUAUUGAUUUGCUCUAAAUUAAGAUAGAUAUCUUUUAGACAAAUUAAAAUCUGCUUAUAUAAUGUGGUAAAUUCUCUUAUUGGAUGAUUUUAAGAAAAUGAAUUUAAACUGGUUUAAAUGUUAUUUUAUUUAAAAAUUACAUAAGAAUAGAUCUUAACUACCUAGGAGAUCUAGCCAGCAUUGAAAGGGUUAUUCUAACUGUCAGCUAAACUUUACGACCUUACGCUGCACUCUGAGGAAUUCUGUUCUUCGCUGUGAAAAGUUUCACUUUCAGCCUGUGUUAAAGAUAGUCAUAAAUAAUUCUUGACAGAAAAUGCUAGUUAGCCAUUGAAACGUAAUACCCAUUUCCUUGUAUUGCAUAUAAUUUUGUACUGGAUAUUCAUUGAUUAUUGUUAUGCAUGUUACAUAAUAUUAUUAUUAUUAAUUUGUCAUAUAAAUAAAAAUCUAUUUUUAUACAUUGUGAUAUCAAUUAUAUGAAAUACAUUCCACUUAACACGAUAAACGUUCUUUGGGAUCUGAGAAUUGAAAUAGUGGGCAAUUCUCAACUGUUACUAUUAUUAUCCCAUAAAUAUCCCCACAUAUUGGAGGCACGCUGCUGAGAUCGUUUAAGUUGAAAUUGUAUUUCAUAUAUAAUAAUAUUGGUGUAAUUCAUGCAAUUUAAUCUUGAUAUAGAAAAGAGUUUUGUAUUGAGAUUAAAUCACUGUAUAGAAAUAUGGCUGAAUCUAGCGCUUCAUCUCAAUCAGAGAAUGGGAAGAAGUUAGCGGAAAUGCAAGGUUUUCCCUUAAGCAUCAUAUAUCAGUAUCUAAAUAUUAAAGUUGAUUAUCCAGAGUGGAUACUCCAAAUAAAAAAAACAGGUUGAUGAUUCGAUUCAUGAUAGAUCGGCUGAUUCACCUAUGGUUAAAUAUCUUAGCCAUAUAGAUGAAGAGUCUACAAUGCGAUCUGUUACCAACUCAUGCCCGUUUUUCAUAUUGGGUUAUUCUAUUAUGUUAAAAAAACAUAAUGAGAUAGAACGUAAAUUGGACGAGUGUCAGAAAGACCUGGUGCUCGAACAAGGAAGGUUCAAAACUUUGUCUGAUGAAAAUAAUCUCCUUCAGGUUCUAAACUCUGACCUUUUGAAUAAACUGGAAAGAAUGAACAAAAUGGUGGAUGAUUAUGAUCAACAGAUAAAACAGAUACAGAUGCAGCUAGAUGAAUAUCAAAAGGGAAGUGAAGGAUUACUGGGAAAAGACCCAAGUGAUUCUUUUCAAUUUCCUAAUAUUCACACACCAGACCAGGUUUUCAUAAAACAGUCUCUAAGAAAAGAUGUGAGUAAUUCUGAGAAAACACCUGUAGAUUCUUGGCAAUCUUGGGCAGAACAGUUUGAAAAGACUGUCCUGGCCAAGAUUGACAGAAGGAAUCAGAUUCAAGGUGAUAGGAAUGAAAACAGACAUGGUUCUGUACACUGGCAGGAUUCUGAUGCAGAUCAGAAUUGUGACAGUGAACAAGAAGCUCAGAGUGAUGGGAGUGAAAGUGAUUGCACUGUCCACUCUNNNNNNNNNNNNNNNNNNNNNNNNNNNNNNNNNNNNNNNNNNNNNNNNNNNNNNNNNNNNNNNNNNNNNNNNNNNNNNNNNNNNNNNNNNNNNNNNNNNNAAUUUGAACUGGCCUUUGGUCUAUAUAGAGAUGUCAUCUGUUACAAUAAAGUGCAGAUUUUAACAGAUACUGGCACUUUUAUAUAUUAAUCUUCUUACACCCCAUAAAUUACACCCUAUUGCUGUCCCACAACAUAGCCAAGACCUAGAUCUCUAUUUUACACAAAAUGGUGGACCUGGGGCACAAGUAUGGCUGUUAUAAAUUCUGUUACAAUCGCUAAUUUGUUUAGGCCAAAUCGUCAGUAGCUUUGGCUCAAUUCAACGCCUGUUUGGAUCAGAGCCUUUUAGACACAGAACUAUUCUGCUGUCAUUUUGACAGCAUGAGGAGACUUUGCAAGCCCUCCCUGUCUUCCCAAGCCCAGACUUUCUGUGGCUACCCAAUCACAGACUUCCCUAUUAAAGUUCAAUGAUAAGUCUUUGCAAAUCAGGUGCUCUGGGAAAUUACUGCCUCUUGAGUUUAGAUUAACAAACCAGAGAGUAACAGCACCGGUUGUCUGAUUGACAGCAAUGAGGUGUAAUUUAUGGGGUUUAAGAAGAUUAAUAUAUAAAAGUGCCAGUAUCUGUUAAAAUCUGCACUUUUUGUGAAAAAAAAGAGAAUAUAGGUCCCUUUGACUAGAAUUAAAAUACUGAAUUCUCAAUACAUUCCAAUCUCCUCAUAGCUUUUGUAUAGAAUGUGAACAUUGCUAAUCUGUGACUCAACGUCUUAGCUUUCCUGGAGUGACCUUCGCGCACUAUCCAGACAUAAAACAUACAUUAUAAGCCAAAGAACAAUGAACAUAAAUAGAACUUUUCCACUAUUAUGAUCCCACAACCCACAGGGCUAAUAAUGUUGAUACAAGUUUUGCAAUAUAUGAGACCAUUGGGGUGUACCGGCCCAGGGUUGGGGGUGGGCGCAACAGCAACAGUGCUCCACUUUCGUACUUCGUACACUUUAAUUUAUUUUUUUGUCAUGUCAAGCGCUGUGAGAAAUUAAAAUUUCCAUAUUACUUUAAAUAGUAAAACAGAUGUGACAGACAAAAAUAUGGGUUCUCUUUACAUAAUAUUUUGUAUCACAGACUUUGGAGACAAUAACUGCAAUCAAACACUUUCUGAAUACGCUCUGAAUACGGUUUUUACAAAUCUUGACUGAGAUUUUGGCCCUCUCUUCUUGAGCCAACAACUCAUCUCAAGUUCUCUCAGAAUUGUUGGGUGCCUUUUCCAAACUGAGAUUUUCAGCACUUUUCACAGGUGUUCAUGGGAUUCAGAUCUGGACUCAAGAAGGCCACAGAAUAGUCAACUGUUUUUUUAUCAUCAAUUCCUGUGUGCUUUUUGAGAUACAUUUUGGGUCAUUAUCCUGAUGGAGGAUCCAUGACCUGUGACUGACCGUAUGUUUUUCUCCAGAAUGCUAUGAUAGACUUCUGAUUUCAUCAUGGUCUGCACAGAUUUCGGGUACCCAGUGCCAGAGUCAGCAAUCACAAAGCAUCACUGAGCCUCCUCCAUGUUUCACAGAGUUGAGAUUUGCCAAAAUGUUCUACUUUUGUUUCAUCUAUACAAAGGACAUGAAAUGGUAAAUUAAGUAAUUUCUUUAUAUUUAUGAAGUUCUGAAUUUCAUAAAUAUAAAAUAAUACCAAAAAUAAAAUAAUAAAAGGUAUACUGGUCGAUCACAUAAAUAUUAGUGAAUAUAAACAAAACUUUACUGGGAAUACAAUUAUUAAGCACAAAACAAAUACUUUAAAACACACACUGUUAUAAACAAUACAAUCAUGUAAGAAAUCGACUUAGCUCUAUUCAGGAGGAGUCCCCUAAAUCCCAACCCACUAGUUUCACCCCCCUCAUACCAUGCACAGUACCUAGCUCAAUGUUUCUAAUAGGUAUUAGCAAGGGAUAAGUGGUAUAUCAUAAUUAAAUAAUAAACCUGUAAAAAAUAUAUUUCAUACUUACUUUGAAAUCCUUAAACUUGAAGAUCUUUUGUAUUUUAGAUAAUUAUUUGGGGGUAUAAGUCUCCACCCCGUCCACCCUCAGUUUUGACAUUAAGAAAGUUCUGUCGUUAAGAGACUAACAGAGUUCUAUAGUCUAUAUGAACAUCGUCUUUAAAGAAAACAAACUUACAAUAUUAGACCAAUUAAAUUCAACAACAAUGUUACUCUAAAAAAAUUACCAAAAAAUUUUAGAUUUAUGCAGUCAAAGAGGAUAAUAAAACUAUUUACUUUCACAUUGACCCUUAGCUGCAUCCAUGUCAUAUUUGCAAAAACACACAUAUCCUAGUUAUUUUAAGCAAGAUUGAGCUCUUUCUAUUUAAUGGACUAUUUAUCUAGCAUCUGUUUCUGUUUUUCAGAAAGUGGUCUAUUAUCGUUAAUUAAUUUAAUAGUUUUAAGGAAGUCGUGAGAUGGUCAACAAAGAUUGUCACAAAGGACUACCAGAUUUAAAGGUAGCCAGACAUGUUAUCCAGAUUCAUUGUGCUCAUAGCAUUAUGUUAUUUGAGCCUAUAAUUUCUGUUGGUGGAAUGUUCUUGUGUUUUUAUUUCCAUGGGGUAAUGGGGAGACUGAGCUAUUGAUAUCGAUGGAGAAAUACAAAUGAAAACCCACAUCUACUUAUGUCUCAAUCAAAACAUAUAAUGCACUGCUUGGACAAAUAUUUGUGUACAUCGCUUGUACUUAGUAGAUUCAGCUAUUUCAUCGGCCAUUAUUGCCUACUGGCAUUUAAAGCCAUGCACACAGCCAAGCAGCACCAAUAGACAAAGACUGACAGUAGAACGGACCAUACUUCAGUUCUGUGACCACCUUUACAGUCAGUUUAUUUAUGUCCUGCAUCGACAGUGCUGUUAUGAAUCGGGAAAGAGCAACAACAGCUCAGUCGCAAUGUGGUUAGCCUCACAACAUCACCGAAUGGAACAUGUGAACUCUGAAAUUCAUAGUGUGCACCAAUCGUCUAUUCCUGGCUACAACGCCUACUGUUGUGUUUUGACCCACCUCUGGAAGCAACAUCAAGAAGUGUUCUUUAUAAGCUUUGGUAGUGCUUGCAUAGCUGAAUGAAGAGUCCAAUAUCAAGCAGAAAUCCUUCCUAGAACAGUGGAGCCAGGCGAAGAAUGUCUGUAACUUUGGAAUUAGAUAUUCAGUGAGAUCAGGUGCUUCUGGACAUGACAUAUCUGAAAUCCCAUUUUUAUCUGCUCUUGGUGAAGAUUUGAUGUCCUUUGCAUUUCCUUUUUGGUUUUGUAUAUGAAAUCCAAAGACUUUGUGUGAGACUCACUGUUACUUACACUUGUGCCCGGCAGAUAAAUUCCAUUUGACCAAAUUAACUAAUCCGCAAAUAAAAUGUAAUUUGGGAUGUCCAAUAGUCAUCCAUGUGGUGGUUCGGUUCAUCCGAAUUUUAUCCAUGCAAAUAACAAAUAGCCCCUCCUCCCCCCAUACACACACACACACACACACACAACAAAACUGACAGCCCACACAAACAUAACUCCUCAAUAUUAAGACAGAACAUUAUGAGAGCUCUGCCAUGAGCUUACAAUCGAAAAUGGAAUGGUGAGAUUGAAUAAUCACGCGAACAGUACAACGGACCAAGAGGGCCGAUAUUGGGACCAUGAGUGUUGCGAGUGUGGAGUUUUUUUUGUGGAGAAAACUUGUGGGAGAACAUUCAAAGUUAUAUGGAUGUGGACAUUACAUUUAUAGAUAAGAUAUCCUUUCCACCGUGCAGUGAUAAAGUGUGAUUUACACAAAAAUCGUAGGCAUGGAUGGAUAGACUAUGUUCUGAAUAUUAAAAAGUGGAUGAAUAAAGUGUAUUCUUUUUGUAAAACUUUAUCUAUUGAUUAUUUCAAAUAUGUGUGUAGACAGCAUUGUACAAUGGGGGAAUAAGAGGUGAUAAGAGUACUGUUCAAAUGAGCGUACUGUCUGAAACAGUGAUUUCCAAACCAGUCCUCAAGAAACGCCUACCAAAUCCUGGACUGGUAGACACGCCUUGAGGACUGGUUUGGAAACCACUGGUUGAAAAGAUGAAGUGCAUUGUAAGGUCCCUAUCAGAAUUUCACUAACACUUUUAUAGCAUGUGUGGCGAUAUUUCCCAAAUGGCAUUGGGGUCACUUUUAUGCUGGUUGAUGUCCAAUGAUUCAUCAUUUUAAGUUUCUUUGUUGCACUUUUGUCCAGGAACUAGAAUAAUUUUUCAACCAUCCCAAUUUCAUAUGUUCGUCUGCAAUCAUAAGGAGGUUAUUGAUUAUUGCUUUGAUAACUGUAAUCAUUCUUGUUUAUUGGUUGCAACAUUCGGCACUUGGGACACAGGUGGAGUCUGGUCCUAGAAGAGUCUCUGUCUGAGUAAUAGGAAUGAAUAGGCAUGUGGAAUGAUCAGUAUUACAGAAAUGUUAUUUACCAUUGAUAAAAUAGUGGAAAGGCAGCCAUAAAUGUACGGCUAGUACUUGUGACUCAUUAUAUUGUUCUGGAAUCAGAUAAAUGCACUUAGCCUCCACUGAAUUACCAUUCAGAAAACAUAAAUAAAACUCCAUUUGUGAUGAUAAAAUGACAGGAGAGUCCUUGAGAAACAUUUUGCAUUUAGAGACCCAUAAACACUGCUUUUAUGGAAUUUAGGCUGCUGUACGUUUGUGCAACUUGGACAUCCAAAGUAGGUAUUGCGAUAUCUGGAAAGAGCAUUAAAUGGGAUGGACAUUUCUAUAAAGCAAAAAGAAAACCCUUUUAAUCCAAAAAAGUUAGCUAUGUAUCAGCUUAUUUUCUCGGUCAGAUGUGAGGAAUGUAUCUGUGAUUUAAAGUGACAGUGUUAUACAUAAACCAGAUUUAUAAAUGAUGGGCUGUGUACUAGAUGUGAUUAUCCUGUGUGGCAGAUAUGGAAUAAUAUCAAAACUAAUGUCAUUCCUAGAACUAAAAGAUAUUAAAAUCGGUCUUCUGAAAAAGUAUAAAAAAAAACAAAUGUGGCUUUAUAUAAUGUCCAUCAGUUCUAAAACAGAACAGUAACACUAUUGUAGAAUACAGUCAAAUAAAGCAAUGAGGUUUACGUUUGAAAUAUCUCUCCCAGUAGCAUGUUCUGAUAAAAAAUAUCACAAAGUUUGACUGAGGAAAAUGGGAAUUAAAGUCUACAAGGCUUAGGAAAUUGGGUUACAGCACAGAUUACACUGCUGUAUCCCAAGAUUUAAUAAUGCUAGCUAGCAUUGAUUGCUUGAGUACAAUGCUGCUCCAUCUCUAAUCUUCACAACAGGGACUUGGCCCAGUAAAUCCGCACUUGGACUUGCACCUUAGGCAAAUGUCUUAUUCUUUACCCAAAACUUAAUUGUAUAUGAACACUCCUGAAUUCGGCAGGACAGUCUUGAUUUAGGUCUCUUUCUCGAAGCUCUUGAUUUAUUUUGGGGUGUGGGUUAAGCUUGUGAGAACAGACAUGCCCAGAGUAAAAUUAAUUUAGUUUUUUUAGGACUGUCUACAAAUGUGAUUUUAAUUGUAUGAGCUGUGUAUGACACAAGCCCAUUAUAGUAAAAAAAAAAAAUGUAAAAAACAAAAACAAAAAUAUAAGCAAAUGGUGAUACACCCUCAAACGCCGUGUCAAUUAGUCCAUGUUAGAAAGAUUAUACAAAAAAUGUCUAAGUUUUCAAAAGAUUAAUAGAUUUGUGAGUUCCUGCUAGAUACGUAUAUGUUACAUUCAUGUUAGUGCAACCUCAAAGAUAAAGGUACCAACGUACAAUAAAUAGGUAUAAAAGAUAUAAGAAAAAAUUCAAUUAAUAACACACAUCAAUGCAUUCUUUUUCCAUUAAAAAUAAAAAUAAUAAAAUUAAAAUCCAUAAUAAAAUUUAAGGGUUUCUUUUAUUCUAUAUUAAAGUGAUAAACAGACAUAAAAUACCAAUGGUAUGGUUCCAAAAAGUAUCUGCAAAAAUGUUGAGGCUAAAAAUGAAAUAGAGAUUGAAAGACCAUGCGAACGACAACAAAACAUUUGAAUACAAGACAUAAACAUUUUGUGUAUAGGAUGAAUUACACAAAAACACCAGACUUGAGACCAGACAAAUUACAGUGAAAAACAAAGACAAGGUAAAUACAAAGAGACCAAAACAUAAAAAAACGGAUAAGAAGCAUAAAAACAGCUCAUUAAGGUGAAGAUAAGAAAGGAGGGUUUGGGAGGGGGGAAGAUGUUCCAGAAGUAAAUUAAGUAUGAAGUAUUCUGGAAAGCGCCCACGGCUGAGGGACAAAUCGUGAAUCUUCAAGUCAUUGAACAAGAAGCUUAAAAAAAGAAACACAAAUAUUUUGGAUAAAAGAUCCACUUACCUCUAUCAUGCUGUCACUCACCUCAAACUUAGGCAGUUGAGAUACCACAACCAUUUCAAACUUACUACCUGUUCCAGCCACAGAUAGCUCUAUUCGAUGCUGAAUAGCCUCAACACCAGCAGAUAUCAGGAUAUCCAAGCCAUGGGAGACAGGACGGCCCAUUGGGAGGACAAGGCCGAAGACAUCAUCAAUGCUCUUGAUUCACUCGCAGAUUCCAACACAGCUCUAGAAUGCAACAUUUCUAAACUGGAAAUAAAGUCAUAGAUCAGGAAGACAGGAGCAGGCAUCAUAAUAUUGUGAUUGAACUGGUAUUCCUGAUGUUAAGACAGCUGACCUAAAAUAAUUCACCCUCAACUUAUAUAAAACUAUAUUACCCUGAGCCACCCUGCAAGAAAUUACUCUGCACAAAACCCACAAACAGGCAAAGCCCUUAACACAUUAAAGUGAGGGAACUCUUGAAAUAUCUCACCUGUACUUUGACUCAGGGAUCUGAGUUGUAUCAUAUAUGAUUACCUGUUGUGAUAAGUUAUUUUCAUUUGUUUAACACCAUAAGAGUGUCAUUCUUAAAUCUAAUGCUUAAACUGUCCAACGUCACCCCAAAAUCCAUUCUUAAGGAGAGGUCCUUCAGCUGUCUCUUUUGUGCCUAGGACACCAUGUCCUAUAGAUCGACUAGGAUCCAGGCCUUUUUAUAUAUGUUACAUGCUGUCUCCUCUCACGUUUUCAUUUUUUUGUUUAUUAUUCAUUGUUUUUACUUUUAUGUGUCUUCUCCAUUAUUCAACAUGGAGAUGCUAAUCUGUGCCCAAAACAAAUUAAGGGUGUAUGCAUCAUACUACUACCGAAUUCCACCAUGUGCACCCCAAGGAUAUUUAGAUGUAUUGAGGGAUAGAGAGAGGGGUUCUAAAUGAGAGUUCCUGGAUUCACGUAAUGUGGGUUUAUAGUCCAUUAAUCUAAUGGACUUAGCUAGGAUACUAUUUCCCCAACCACAAUGCCGUUAACAAUUAUGUCCCUUAAUGCUAAAGAAUUACACUCAUCACCUAAAAGUUAGAAUACCUUUGCAAGAAGCUGCCAGGGGCCCACGUUUAGGUAGCCUUUUUCCUAGAGACAUAUUUUCAAAGGGGUCAAAGACCUAAAUUCAACUCAGCCCACUUCCCUGUAGAUUUUCUUACAUCGAUUUUAAUAAGCAGAGAUGUUGCUUUUUACCUAGUGUCUAAAAAGAGUGAUAAUGAGGGCAGAUACUUGAUGCUCCAGUGUUACAACAAUAACAUGCCAUACACCUUGGUUAACAUGUGUGGACUACAUGAGAAUCAAGUCAAGUUUUUAGAGGAAGUCCUGUUGCUGUGUAGUUCAUCAGUAUUUGGGAAUUUUAUAAUAGGAGGUGAUAGCAAUUUGUUACUUGAUCCAUUCUAUAAUCCUCUUCUGCAAAUGCAGAUACACUUAAACAGAGAAAAUCAAUAGUUAAAGUGUUGAUGGAGGUUUUGCAAUUCCAUGAUUAUGUAAAUCUCUGGAGAUAACUCCACACUUUAGACAUCGAUUACACUCCACCUAUCAAAAGAAGAAGUGCACCAGAUCCUCUGUUGAGUAAUCAAACUAAAAACUAACCUUGGCCAACAAAAGAAAGCCUGCUAAGGCAUUGCUCCAAAAAAACAUCCAUUAAGAAUGGGUGAUUAAGAAAAGGACCAUAAACUCUAAGAUCAAAUACAUUACUUCCCCUCAAAGACACUGUACAACCCAAAAGACAGUGCAAAGAAAUUGGCGAAUUAUUAUUCCCAACAACAUAAUUUAAAGAAUGAACCAGGUAGAACCUUACCGUCUGACACACAGAUUAACACUUUUGGGGAUACAGUCAACCUCCCCAGGUUGUCAUUGCAUGAUUUGCUGAUAAAGCCAUUUUCACUGGAGAUAAUGUCCUCUAUUAUUAAAUCCCUACCCUCACACAAGACACUGGGCUGAGAAGGAUUAUCUAGUCAAUAUUACAAAUCCUUUCAAUAAAUACUAUCCCCAUAUCUUACCACCUUAUUUAAUGAAUGUUAUGCAAAAGAGUGUCUUUCCACAGAGAUGUUGUUUGCAAACGUUUUACUCUGCCCAAACUGGGAAAGCCACCCUUGCCAAAACUAUCACUCCAUAUCUUUAAUAAAUCCGAAUACUAAGAUUCAUGCUAAUCUACUGGCAAAUAGACUGGCUCCUAUUCUUCCAAAUUUGAUACAAUAGGACCAUAAUUAUAUUAUUCGCAGACGAUAUUCUCCUUUUCCCAUCUAAUGUAUAUCUUUACCAAACAUGAUGUCUCUAUUGCAGAAAUAUGGGAAGAUAUCCUUGUAUAAACUCAAUAUGGGCAUAACUCAAGCUCUCCCAAUAGGCCUUCACGAAGUCUUAAUUCAAUCAAUGGUGACACAAUUCUCCCUAGAGUGGAGAAAGAGUAUCUGAUGUACUUAUGUGUAAAAAGUUUGAAAACACCUACGAUCAUAUAUAAAUUUAAUCAUAUAGCCCUCGUUAGUCAGAUAAGAUAUGAAUAAAUGGCAAUCCAUGCUCCCCUCUUUGAUACAGACAAAUAAACUGAUGGCACUUUCUUUGCCGUUAUUAGUACCCUUGACUUCCUGUGCAAACUUCGUCCUUUGUUUGGACAUACAGAUAACCCAGAGUAAAUGUAAAUUUGUCAAUAUCUUUAACUACUACAAGGAGACCAUCUUAACACGGCCUAUCAAUCUACAUUCUGAAAAAUCUCUUAAAAUUAAUUUAAUAUGAAAUAUACCCCUAACAUGCCCUUCACAUCCCUGUUGCACCACUAAGCAAAUUCGCACAAAAUCACAAGAUUAUCUUUUGAAAUUUGUGAUGCUCUAAUGAAUAACACUUUAGAUUGAAUCUAGAAUUUUGCCCCUUUGUUUCCUGAUCAAAUCAAUUAUAGGCAAACAAGUUAAUAACAGAAAUAUCACAGUUAGUCCAUGAACAUGCAAUACUGCUGCAUAGCUUUGACCAAGCUUUAACUUUUAUCACUUAGUUACCAUCUAAUUUAAAACCAUUACUACCCCAAUAAACACUCCUAUAUGGUAAAAUGGGAAAGAGAAGCAGGCUCUAUAUUAGCUGCACAACACUGAGUUUGGAUAAGGAAUGCUUUGAAAGUUAUCACAGCAUGCUAUAACCAUAUUGAGGCACACUGCAAACUCACGUAAAGAUGAUAUUUCAGAGGAUAGCAAAAAUGUUUCCAAAUUUAUAGUCUGAGUGUAGAUUAAAGCUAGGUACACUAACACAUCCCUGGGGACAUCUUUGUGCAGUGAGCAAGUCUUUUGACCCCACAAAUCAUGCACCCUAUACUACAGCUCCUUUUCCCAGAGGAUAUUAUUUCCCAAUACAUAUACUGAUCAGCCACAGCAAUAACACCACUGACAGGUGUAGUGAAUAGAAUUGAUUAUAUUGUUACAAUGAUACCGGUCAAGGGGUGGGACAUAUUAGGCAGCAAGCGAACAGUCAGUUCAUGAUUUUCAUUUGUUGAAAACUGACAAAAUUGGCAAGUGAAAAGAUCUGAGUGACUUUGACAAGGGCCAAAUAGUGGUGAAUACACCACUGUGUCAAUAGCAUCUCCAAAACACCAAGUCUUGUUGGGUGAUCCCAUUAUGCAGUGGUUAGUACCUACCAAAAGUGGUUCAAGGAAGGACAACCAGGGAACCAGCAUCAGAGUCAUGAGUGCCCAAGUCACAAUGAUGCACAUGGGGAGCAAAGGCUAGCCUGUCUGGUCGAAUCACAGAGAAGAAUAAAAGUAGCUCAAAUUGCUGAGAAAAUUAAUGCCGAUCAAUAUAGAAAGGUGUCAGAACACAUCUCUGUUUGAUGGGUAUGGGGCUGUUUGAUGGGUAUGGGGCUGUGUAGCCGCAGACCAGUCAGAGUGCUUAUGAUAACUCCUGUCCACUGCCAAAAGUCUUCAGAACUGGACCACGGAGCAAUAGAAGGAGGUUGAAUCAAGGUCUGAUAGAUCAGGUAGGUGGCCAGGUGUGUGUAUCAUUUACCUAGGCAAGAGAUGUCAGCAGGGUGCACUAUGGGAAAAAUGUUCUGCUGGAAACCUUGAGUCCUGGCAUUCACAUGGAAUUACUUUAACAAAUAUCACCUACCUAGAGAUGGUUGUAGAGACCAUGUACACCCCUUCAUGGCAAUGGUAUUUCGUGAUGGCAAUGGCCUCUUUCAGCACCCUGCCACACUGCAAAAAUUGCAAAAGCAGGAAUUGUUUGAGAAAAAUAACAUAGUUUAAGUUCCCCUUCCCCUCCAUAUUCCCAAGAUCUCUAUUGAGCAUCUGUUGGAUGUGCUGGAAAAACAAGUCUGAUCCAUGGAGGUCCCACCCUGCAACGUGGUGGACUUAAAGGAUCUGCUGCUAAUGUCUGGGUGCCAGAUAUCACAGGACACGUUCAGAGGUCUUGUAGAGUCAAUACUUUGACGUAUCAGAGCUGUUUUACCUUUUUGCUUUCUGUACCCUAACUUUUAAUUUAUCAAUAAAAUGCAAAAAAAAAAAUUAAAUCCUAUAGCUUCUAAAUACUAAAUUGCAGGUAUUUGCUCACCUGCCAGUGCUUUCAGUACAAUCACAUUCCAAAAAUGUCACAACCUUUCUUCUGCCGGCAAGGUUUCGGAAGUUUGAACUUGUUACACUCAUUAGCAACCUAAAACCAGCCAUUAAUCAGACAAUCCUGAAAUCAAUAUUCUGAGUUUGUGAGGUUAAUGCUAAAUAAAAAGACUAUUUUAGAAAUAUCUUGUCUGAUUUUUAUAGUGCGACGAUGAAGAUAAUAAGUGAUAUGUGUGAUAUUGUUACCAAAUCGACAUUGAUAUGCAUGCAUGUUUCUUUACGCAUGUCCUUAUUUGCCAUUUUGGGUAUAGCUGUGUUAUCGUUUUUGCUAUGUUGUUGCUAUUUUCUUGUGACAGUGCUUAUGUAUACUUUAAUUGAUUAGUGACGAGUUGUUAAUAUUGCGUAAGUUAAAUCCAACUCUUGUUCCAUCUUCCUGACAGCCACUAGAGGCACUUCCUCCUUCAGACUGAGUAAAACUCGCUCUGGGAAUCUGAUAGCAGCAUUUUUUUGCAUGAGCACUUGCCUAGUUCAAAGUUGGAGGAGAUCAUGAGUGGUGUCAGCUUGGAUGUUGACAUCAACAAAGAAGGAGCUGUAGGCUGCAGUGUAGGAGUCCUGGCAUCCCUGAGUAAUAAUAAUAAUUAUUAUAUAUAUAUAUUCAUUAGAUUUCUACAAAUUAUAAAGAAAGAUUAUGAGGAGGGGGGGAGAAAGAAAGAUUAGGAGCAGGGGGGGAGAAAGAAAGAUUGGGGGGGUGAGAAAGAAAGAUUGUGAGGGGGGAGAUUGACAUUCAUCACACACACAUACACACAAUGCACCCCUUGAACACAGAAAGACACACAAUGCAUUACACACACAGACACACAUACACAAGCAAUGCAACCGUUACACACAAUGCAUCCCUUACACACACAGAAACACACAAUGCAUUCAUUACGCACACUCAAUGCACCCCUUACACACAUUCAAUGCAUCCCGUACAUACACAGAAACACAAACAGAACAAGGGGUGGAGUCAGCGCUAAUCAGGAAGGCAGCAGUUCCAAACAAGGACUCCCUCUAAUGUCCCUGGAAAUCAAUGGUAAAAGCAGGAAAAUGGGGGGAUGGGUCUGCGCCAAUGUGCACAAUAAAUAGUAGUAUUAAGUCCAAUAGGAUCUAUAUUGUCAUUUCCAAAGUUCUACUAUUUGCGAUAUCCUGAAGGUGUCGGUGGCGUGAAGAGUAAUCCAAAUAUGUAAAAAUAGAAGAGUUCUUACUUACAGUUAACAGAGCUUAAUCCAGCUCUGGUGUGAAUGGUUUACAGCGGUAUUAUCCCGCUUGCAGGAUAUGCGGCAAGUGUCCUCUUCUUUGUAGUGACAGGUAACCAAGUUGGAAAUAAAAAUGGAAACAACAAUGGUGCAUAUUCCACACGUAUAGUAAAAAAUAUAAAAUAUAAUAGAUACACUCACAUUCGGUAGAGCUUUGGCUAGCUCUAGUUUGUUAGGCAUACAGCGGUAUCAUCCCCGCUUGUAGGAUAUAGGAUGAGUGAUCUUGACGAGAAUAUCAGGAGCUCGGAGGGAAGAUAAAACAGCAAUAGUGCUCUCAAUAAAAUCUUAGUAAUAAAAUAAAAUAAUAAAAUAUACUCACAAUGUAUAGGACAGGUUGAGUAAUCAAACUAAAAACUAACCUUGGCCAACAAAAGAAAGCCUGCUAAGGCAUUGCUCCAAAAAACAUCCAUUAAGAAUGGGUGAUUAAGAAAAGGACCAUAAACUCCAAGAUCAAAUACAUUACUUCCCCUCAAAGACAAACAACGUUUGUUAUCCAUUGAUAAAGCCUUAUACUGGCGAAACGCGUUUGGAUAUUUUUACUGUUUUAUAUUCUGUUAAUAAAAAGAUUUUGGUCAUUUUUUACGUUUAAACCAUCAUCUUUUAUUAUUACCUGGCUUUUUAUAUACGUUUUAUAUACAUUUUAUACUUGUUUAUACAUUUUAUAUACGUUUUAUAUAAAUUUUUUACGUCGUUUGUUAUCCAUUGAUAAAGCCUUAUACUGGCGAAACGCGUUUGGAUAUUUUUACUGUUUUAUAUACUGUUAAUAAAAAGAUUUUGGUCAUUUUUUACGUUUAAACCAUCAUCUUUUAUUAUUACCUGACUUUUUAUAUACGUUUUAUAUACAUUUUAUACUAUAUACUUAUUUUAUUAUUUUUAACUCCUGCAUAUUAUACUCCAAAGAAUCCUAGGUGGGGAUUAUACCACCUACGCUGUUACAUAGAGCAGUUAGCCUGCCCUAUACAUUGUGAGUAUAUUUUAUUAUUUUAUUUUAUUACUAAGAUUUUAUUGAGACCACUAUCGCUGUUUUAUCUUCUCUCCGAGCUCCUGAUAUUCUCGUCAAGAUCACUCAUCCUAUAUCCUACAAGCGGGGAUGAUACCGCUGUAUGCCUAACAAACUAGAGCUAGCCAAAGCUCUACCGAAUGUGAGUGUAUCUAUUAUAUUUUAUAUUUUUUACUAUACGUGUGGAACAUACCGCACCAUUAUUGUUUCCAUUUUUAUUUCCAACUUGGUUACCUGUCACUACAAAGAAGAGGACACUUGCCGCAUAUCCUGCAAGCGGGAUAAUACUGCUGUAAACCAUUCACACCAGAGCUGGAUUAAGCUCUGUUAAGUGUAAGUAAUAACUCUUCUAUUUUUACAUAUUUGGAUUACUCUUCACGCCACCGACACCUUCAGGAUAUCGCAAAAAGUAGAACUUUGGAAACGACAAUAUAGAUCCUAUUGGACUUAAUACUAUUAUUUAUUGUGUAGAUUGGCGCAGACCCAUCUUCCCAUUUUCCUGCUUUUAUACACAGAAACACACCUUGCAGCCCUUACACAUACAAACACAAUUUCACACAAUGCAUUCCUUACACACAUAUCAGGACAUCCCCUACACACUCCACCCCUGUGAACAAACUCAUUGGUGGAACAUGAAGGUGGACCCUGGGACCCAGACCUUGAGCUGUGUAAAGGGCCCCCAAAAAAUGGAGCUGCUUCCCGUUCUCCCAGAACAUUGAUUUUUGUGACCACAGUUACAAACCGCCUCCAGAGAGCCUGUUCUACACCAGACCAGUGGAGCCAGACUGCAGCUAGAGCCCAUAAUCAUCCUCAUCUGGUUGUAAGAGGGCAAUCUAGUAUAUUAUUAGUGGCACUAAGCUCUAAUUUACCUCACAUUAAAGAAACACUAUAGUCCCCAGAACCACUGCAGCUUAAUGUAGUGGUUCUGGUGUCUAUAGCCUGUCCCUGCGGGGGCACUGCAGCACUGGCGUUAGUUAACAUGGCAAAUCAUAUGGGUGGGGCAUUGUGAUGUCACAUGGUGGGGGCGGCAAAGUUUACUUUUGCCUAGGGCGGCAAAAAUCCUNNNNNNNNNNNNNNNNNNNNNNNNNNNNNNNNNNNNNNNNNNNNNNNNNNNNNNNNNNNNNNNNNNNNNNNNNNNNNNNNNNNNNNNNNNNNNNNNNNNNUGCACCGGCCCUGGGUGGAGGGGGCUGUGUGAGCUGUGGCCGCACAGUGCCCCAUGGUAGUUAGGGUGCCGUGCGGCCAGUACAGCUCACACAAGCAAACCGCUGAUAAACUGGCCUCACGGAGGAAAAGUGGGGCGGAGCCAAACUGGCACUGGGGGCGGGGCUUAAUAUGGCCCUUACCCACUGCUGUUAGGAGGUGCAGCAAGAUGGAAUCUCUGCUUCUCCACAGGUUUCAGAGAAGGACUUCAGGGAAUCCAGUCCUCCUCCAUCCCACUGUCUGUAAGUAAGAGUGUGUGUGUGUGUGUGUGUGUGUGUGAGACUGUCUGUGUGUAACUGUCUGCCUGUAACUGUGUGUGACUAUCUGCCUGUAACUGAGUGUGUGACAGUCUGCCUGUAACUGAGUGUGUGACUGUCUGCCUGUAAAUGUGUGUGUGGGGCUGCAGGGAUUUUGUAGAAGGGGGCAGGGUUUUUGUAUUGGGACAGGAGUCUUUAUAAGUGGGAUAAGCAGGGGAUUUGUGGAAGGGGGUUGCGGGUGUUUUGUAGAUGGGGCAGUACAGGAUUCGUAGAAGGGGCAGGACAGAGGUUUUGUAGGAGGGGCUGGGCAGGGUAGGACAAGGGUUUUGUAGGAGGAGCUGACAGGGGUUUUUUUGGGGGGGGGGGGGCUGGUGCCAAGCACAGGAUCCGCCCCGGGUGCCAAAUGCUCUAGGUACACCCCUGUAUAUAUGUAAUAGACAAGAUCCAGCGGACUAAACAGCAACUUCAAAGCCCACAGAUUUGAUUAAUUUUUUGGGGGGGUUUAGUUACAUUAUAUGAUCAUACAUUGCAUAAGCCUGUCACAACGUCGAUGUACUCCAUCUUUGGCAGGUCUUACUCUAUCAAUCUAAUGUCUGCUCUUAUGAGCUUAGCCCACUUACUUGGGGAAAAAAUCCAUCUGGGGGUCUCUGCAGGUCAAUGCUAAAUAGGGCCCUGGAAUGAGUGCACUGGAUCUUGUGUAUUGUAUAAGUUGGCCCCAGCAGCACCCCAUUUAUGAACCCAGGUUGUAUACACAUAGGCGUGCGCAGCCUAUUGCAUUAGGGUGCGCACCUAGAGCACAAGCACACGCCAUAUAUAUAAAUAUAUAUAUAUAUAUAUACAUAUACACAUAUACAUACAUACAUACACUGCUGUGUGUGUGUGUGUGUGUGUGUGUGUGCUGUGUGAGGGUGCUGGUAGUGUGCUAUGUGGGUGUUGGUGUGUGGGUGCGCUUGUGAGGGUGCUGUUAAUGUACUGUGUGUGAGGGUGCUGUUUGUGUGUGAGGGUACUGAUAGUGUGCUGUGUGUUUGUUAGGGUCCUGUUAGUGUGCUGUGUGAGGGUGCUGUUUGUGUUUGUGCGGGUACUGUUAGUGUGCUGUGUGUGUGUGUGAGGGUGCUGUAUGUGUGUGGGUGCUGUAUGUGUGUGGGUGCCGUAUGUGUGUGUGUGGGUGCUGUAUGUGUGUGUGUGGGGGGGGUAUGUGUGAGAAUGUUGUGUGUGUGUGGGUGAUGUUUGUUUGCUGCAUGUGUGUGGGUGCUGUGUGUGUGUGCUGUGUGUGUGUGGGUGAUGUGUGUUCUGUUUGUGUGGUGUAUGUGUGAGGAUGUUGUGUGUGUGUGGGUGAUGUUUGUUUGCUGUAUAUGUGUGGGUCCUGUAUGUAUGUGUGUGUGCUGUAUGUAUGUGUGUGGGUGCUGUGUGUGUACUGUUUGUGUGCUGUAUGUGUGUGUGUGUUGUAUGUGUGUGCUGUAUGUGUGUGUGUGUGUGUGCUGUAUGUGUGUGUGUGUGUGCGCUGUAUGUGUGUGUGUGUGUGUGCUGUAUGUGUAUGUGUGUGCUGUUUGGGUGAUUUUUGGGGGUGGAGGUGGGGGCAGAUUAGUUAAUAAAGAUCCCCCUUUCCCUUUUUACCUUAUGUAGGGAGGGGGGACCGUGCUGCUGCCUUCCCUGGUGGUCCAGUGGAGGUGGGGGCAGAUUGCUUAAUAUCCCCCCUCCCUUGUUACCUUAUGCCAGGGAGGGGGGAUCCUUUCUGCCUUCCCUGGUGGUCCUAGUGGUGAGAGUGAAAUCUAGCCUGCGGGGCUAGAGUUCACUCUCGCGAAAUCUUAGUGUUGCCGCGGUAACCGCGGCAACGCUCAGAUCUCGCAAGAGGAACCCGGCGGAGCUGCUGGCAAGUAUGUGUGUGUCUGUGAGUGUGUGUGUGUCUGUGAGUGUAUGUGUGUGUGAGUGUGAGUGUGUGUGUGUCUGUGAAUGUAUGUGUGUGUGUCUGAGUGUGUGUGUAUCUGAGUGUGUGUGUGUCUGUGAGUGUCUGUAAGUGUGUGUGUGUGUGUGUGUGUGUCUGUGAGUGUAUGUGUGUGUGUCUGUAAGUGUGUGUGUGUGUGUAUCUGUAAGUGUGUGGGUGUCUGUGAGUGUAUGUGUGUGUGUGUCUGAGUGUGUGUCUGUGAGUGUGUGGUUCUGUAACUGUGUGUCAGUGUGUGCGCACACGUAUAUAUAUAUAUAUAUAUAUAUAUAUACACACACACACGCGCGCGUGUAUAUUAUUUUUUGGGGGGAGGGGUGGGAAUCUUGCCGCGGACUCAUCAUUGAGUAAACUUUGACCCUGUACCUCACAGUCAACAGACACAUUCCAGCCAAUCAGCAGCAGACCCUCCCUCCCAGACCCUCCCACCUCCUGGACAGCAUCCAUUGUGAAGCUGCAUUCUUAGUGAGCUGUCCAGGAGGUGGGAGGGUCUCGGAGGGAGGGUCUGCUGCUGAUUGGCUGGCAUGUACAGGGUCAAAGUUUACUCAAUGAUGAGUCCGCGGCGAACCGUUCGUGGCGAACCGUGGCGAACCGUUCGUGAACCGUUCGGCAAACAGUUCGGGACAUCACUAAUGAGCUGUAAUAAUACACUGAGCUGUAAUGAUACAAACACACACAGAAACUGCUGAAUGCACACACACACACACAGAAUGCUGAAUAUAUUCCACUACAGGAUGUAAAAAAUUCCAUUAAUUUCCCGAUAUCUGACAGGAAUAAAAUUCCACUAUUUUUACUUGUUGCUCCAUAAUGAAUCCCCCAAGACUCGGUAAUAAUAUGUAACUGCAACAAAAUAAUUUAACUACUAACAAAUACGUUGCAAAUCCUACUCUGAAUGUUGUCACUCUCUCUCUCUCUCUCUCUCUCUAAAUAUAUAUAUAUAUAUAUAUAUAAUUAUUAUUUAUAAAGCGCCAACAAAUUCCCUUGUGCUGUACAAUGGGUGGGCUACCAAACAUGAAUUUGUAGCGAGACAAGUUGGACGCCCAGGAACAGAGGGAUUGAGGCCCUGCUCAGUGAGUUUACAUGUUAGAGAGAGUGGGGUAUAGUGACACAGUAACAGAGGGAUUGAGGGCCUGCUCAGUGAGCUUACAUGUUAGAGGGAGUGGGGUAUAGUGACAGUAACAGAGGGAUUGAGGCCCUGCUCAGUGAGCUUACAUGUUAGAGGGAGUGGGGUAUAGUGACACAGUAACAGAGGGAUUGAGGGCCCUGCUCAGUGAGUUUACAUGUUAGAGGGAGUGGGGUAUAGUGACAGUAACAGAGGGAUUGAGGGCCCUGCUCAGUGAGUUUACAUGUUAGAGGGAGUGGGGUAUAGUGACAGUAACAGAGGGAUUGAGGGCCAUGCUCAGUGAGUUUACAUGUUAGAGGGAGUGGGGUAUAGUGACACAG